UCCAACACCACAAAGGCUGAUCCCUCUGAAAUGGUGGACAAAACACAUCUUUCCUCCUUCCAAGUUACUCUUUCAGACAUUUGCUGAACAACAUUGAGGAAAGUGACAAGUGCCGCAGCUCAGUAUGGCAAAUGACGCAGCUGCAUCUGGCAUUCCCUGCAUCGGUGUGUCCCAGCUUUCUGGACAAAGGCUGCACAGAAAGAACAAAGCUUAAAGGAGAAGCUUCUGAGAUUUCAGAGCUCAAGCAUCCAACUCGAGGCACCGGGAAGAGGCUCACCAUGGAAAGUAGAGACCCCUCGUGAGGCCAGUUGCCAUGUGUCACAGGACGUCUGCUGAUAAUUUCAAGGCCCUGGACCGAGUCUCUUCUGCAGUAAUUCAUCAUGAGUUUCCCAUGCACGGAGAAGCAUCCGGUAGGUGAUCACUGUCAAAUAACAGUAUAUUCUACCCUGUGGUUUCCUCCUUGGUCACGGUCUUUAGAACUGUUGUGGAAGCGUCUUCAUUGCCAGGGUGUUCAGAUUGAACCUUUGACAUCCCCCCU